rnacentral:rRNA from 1 species
UACGAAGGGUGCAAGCGUUAAUCGGAAUUACUGGGCGUAAAGGGUGCGUAGGCGGUUGUUUAAGUCUGUCGUGAAAUCCCCGGGCUCAACCUGGGAAUGGCGAUGGAUACUGGGCAGCUAGAGUGUGUCAGAGGAUGGUGGAAUUCCCGAUGUAGCGGUGAAAUGCGUAGAGAUCGGGAGGAACAUCAGUGGCGAAGGCGGCCAUCUGGGACAACACUGACGCUGAAGCACGAAAGCGUGGGGAGCAAACAGG